GUGAAAAAUGGCGAACAACUUUGACAUGAACGACAUGACCGUUGAACAACUUAUGGCACUUAGUGAGAUAAUCGAUGACAGCGACUAUGAAGGAAAUCUUGAGGACGAAGUGGAGAAAAUCUCGGAGGAUAAGUUCUACCGCGUUGCACCUAAGGACAAGGGAGAGAACGUCCACGCGGAAGAGAAACUAUUCAUUGACGAAGGUGAUAGAGCUUCGGAUCCUAAGAGGCCAAGAAGACUCCCACUGAACUACAAGGGUAAGAGAGGAAUAAUGCCAACAUGGAAAUAUUCCGAGAGGCAGAAGGCAAAGGCCUUACUAGUCGAGGAG